ACUAGGAUUAGAUACCCUAUUAUCAACUGUGACUAUUUAGCAAAUAGAGUAAUCUUUAGACACGAAAAACAUUACACAUGGCGGUUAACCAUCUCAUCAGAGAAGCAUGCCACUAAAACGAAACUGCACGAUGAACUUCUUUUCUCCUUGAAAUAAUUCACUCUGUACACCGCUAUCUGAAAGAUAUUUUCUUAGAAUUGUCUGUUUUCCAAAGAUAAGGGAAAUAAGAUAAGUAAAGGUGCAGGUAAUGGGGAAAGAAUGGUGUGCCUCAUUGUUAGUUUUCAUUGGCGGAAAAAUUGAAACUUUUUCCAAAAUAGAAUUUGAAAGUAAAUUGGGUUUAUAAAACCUAGUUGAAUGAAAGCAAUGGUUAACGUACACAUCGCCCGUCGCUCUUAA
rnacentral:rRNA from 1 species